ACGGGUGAGUAAUGUCUGGGGAUCUGCCCGAUAGAGGGGGAUAACCACUGGAAACGGUGGCUAAUACCGCAUAACGUCGCAAGACCAAAGAGGGGGACCUUCGGGCCUCUCACUAUCGGAUGAACCCAGAUGGGAUUAGCUAGUAGGCGGGGUAAUGGCCCACCUAGGCGACGAUCCCUAGCUGGUCUGAGAGGAUGACCAGCCACACUGGAACUGAGACACGGUCCAGACUCCUACGGGAGGCAGCAGUGGGGAAUAUUGCACAAUGGGCGCAAGCCUGAUGCAGCCAUGCCGCGUGUAUGAAGAAGGCCUUCGGGUUGUAAAGUACUUUCAGCGGGGAGGAAGGCGAUGUGGUUAAUAACCGCAUUGAUUGACGUUACCCGCAGAAGAAGCACCGGCCAACUCCGUGCCAGCAGCCGCGGUAAUACGGAGGGUGCAAGCGUUAAUCGGAAUUACUGGGCGUAAAGCGCACGCAGGCGGUCUGUUAAGUCAGAUGUGAAAUCCCCGGGCUUAACCUGGGAACUGCAUUUGAAACUGGCAGGCUUGAGUCUCGUAGAGGGGGGUAGAAUUCCAGGUGUA
rnacentral:rRNA from 1 species